rnacentral:tRNA from 1 species
GGCUGGGUAGCUCAGCUGGUUAGAGCGCAGGACUCAUAAUCCUGAGGUCGGGAGUUCGAGUCUCCCCCCCGCCACCA